UCUUGGGUGGCUCAGUGGUGAAGAAUCUGCCUGCAAUGCAGGAGAUGCAGGUUCAAUCCCUGGGUCAGGAA
rnacentral:tRNA from 1 species